rnacentral:rRNA from 1 species
UGAGCAAUCUGCCCUUCUCAUCGGAAUAAGCGUUGGAAACGACGUCUAAUGCCGAAUACGACCUCCUUUCGCAUGAUCGGAGGUGGAAAGCUCCGGCGGAGAAGGACGAGCUCGCGGCCUAUCAGCUAGUUGGUGUGGGUAAUGGCCCACCAAGGCGACGACGGGUAGCCGGCCUGAGAGGGUGAUCGGCCACACUGGGACUGAGACACGGCCCAGACCUCCGUACGGGAGCAG